GAUGAACGCUGGCGGCGUGCCUAAUACAUGCAAGUCGAGCGAACGGACGAGAAGCUUGCUUCUCUGAUGUUAGCGGCGGACGGGUGAGUAACACGUGGAUAACCUACCUAUAAGACUGGGAUAACUUCGGGAAACCGUAGCUAAUACCGGAUAAUAUUUUGAACCGCAUGGUUCAAAAGUGAAAGACGGUCUUGCUGUCACUUAUAGAUGGAUCCGCGCUGCAUUAGCUAGUUGGUAAGGUAACGGCUUACCAAGGCAACGAUGCAUAGCCGACCUGAGAGGGUGAUCGGCCACACUGGAACUGAGACACGGUCCAGACUCCUACGGGUGGCAGCAGUAGGGAAUCUUCCGCAAUGGGCGAAAGCCUGACGGAGCAACGCCGCGUGAGUGAUGAAGGUCUUCGGAUCGUAAAACUCUGUUAUUAGGGAAGAACAUAUGUGUAAGUAACUGCGCACAUCUUGACGGUACCUAAUCAGAAAGCCACGGCUAACUACGUG
rnacentral:rRNA from 1 species